CUAAUCUGCGAUAAGCGUCGGUAAGGUGAUAUGAACCGUUAUAACCGGCGAUUUCCGAAUGGGGAAACCCAGUGUGAUUCGUCACACUAUCAUUAACUGAAUCCAUAGGUUAAUGAGGCGAACCGGGGGAACUGAAACAUCUAAGUACCCCGAGGAAAAGAAAUCAACCGAGAUUCCCCCAGUAGCGGCGAGCGAACGGGGAGCAGCCCAGAGCCUGAAUCAGUGUGUGUGUUAGUGGAAGCGCCUGGAAAGGCGUGCGAUACAGGGUGACAGCCCCGUACACAAAAAUGCACAUAUUGUGAGCUCGAUGAGUAGGGCGGGACACGUGGUAUCCUGUCUGAAUAUGGGGGGACCAUCCUCCAAGGCUAAAUACUCCUGACUGACCGAUAGUGAACCAGUACCGUGAGGGAAAGGCGAAAAGAACCCCGGCGAGGGGAGUGAAAAAGAACCUGAAACCGUGUACGUACAAGCAGUGGGAGCACGCUUAGGCGUGUGACUGCGUACCUUUUGUAUAAUGGGUCAGCGACUUAUAUUCUGUAGCAAGGUUAACCGAAUAGGGGAGCCGAAGGGAAACCGAGUCUUAACUGGGCGUUAAGUUGCAGGGUAUAGACCCGAAACCCGGUGAUCUAGCCAUGGGCAGGUUGAAGGUUGGGUAACACUAACUGGAGGACCGAACCGACUAAUGUUGAAAAAUUAGCGGAUGACUUGUGGCUGGGGGUGAAAGGCCAAUCAAACCGGGAGAUAGCUGGUUCUCCCCGAAAGCUAUUUAGGUAGCGCCUCGUGAAUUCAUCUCCGGGGGUAGAGCACUGUUUCGGCAAGGGGGUCAUCCCGACUUACCAACCCGAUGCAAACUGCGAAUACCGGAGAAUGUUAUCACGGGAGACACACGGCGGGUGCUAACGUCCGUCGUGAAGAGGGAAACAACCCAGACCGCCAGCUAAGGUCCCAGAGUCAUGGUUAAGUGGGAAACGAUGUGGGAAGGCCCAGACAGCCAGGAUGUUGGCUUAGAAGCAGCCAUCAUUUAAAGAAAGCGUAAUAGCUCACUGGUCGAGUCGGCCUGCGCGGAAGAUGUAACGGGGCUAAACCAUGCACCGAAGCUGCGGCAGCGACGCUUAUGCGUUGUUGGGUAGGGGAGCGUUCUGUAAGCCUGCGAAGGUGUGCUGUGAGGCAUGCUGGAGGUAUCAGAAGUGCGAAUGCUGACAUAAGUAACGAUAAAGCGGGUGAAAAGCCCGCUCGCCGGAAGACCAAGGGUUCCUGUCCAACGUUAAUCGGGGCAGGGUAAGUCGACCCCUAAGGCGAGGCCGAAAGGCGUAGUCGAUGGGAAACAGGGUUAAUAUUCCUGUACUUGGUGUUACUGCGAAGGGGGACGGAGAAGGCUAUGUUGGCCGGGCGACGGUUGUCCCGGUUUAAGCGUGUAGGCUGGUUUUCCAGGCAAAUCCGGAAAAUCAAGGCUGAGGCGUGAUGACGAGGCACUACGGUGCUGAAGCAACAAAUGCCCUGCUUCCAGGAAAAGCCUCUAAGCAUCAGGUAACAUCAAAUCGUACCCCAAACCGACACAGGUGGUCAGGUAGAGAAUACCAAGGCGCUUGAGAGAACUCGGGUGAAGGAACUAGGCAAAAUGGUGCCGUAACUUCGGGAGAAGGCACGCUGAUAUGUAGGUGAAGUCCCUCGCGGAUGGAGCUGAAAUCAGUCGAAGAUACCAGCUGGCUGCAACUGUUUAUUAAAAACACAGCACUGUGCAAACACGAAAGUGGACGUAUACGGUGUGACGCCUGCCCGGUGCCGGAAGGUUAAUUGAUGGGGUUAGCGCAAGCGAAGCUCUUGAUCGAAGCCCCGGUAAACGGCGGCCGUAACUAUAACGGUCCUAAGGUAGCGAAAUUCCUUGUCGGGUAAGUUCCGACCUGCACGAAUGGCGUAAUGAUGGCCAGGCUGUCUCCACCCGAGACUCAGUGAAAUUGAACUCGCUGUGAAGAUGCAGUGUACCCGCGGCAAGACGGAAAGACCCCGUGAACCUUUACUAUAGCUUGACACUGAACAUUGAGCCUUGAUGUGUAGGAUAGGUGGGAGGCUUUGAAGUGUGGACGCCAGUCUGCAUGGAGCCGACCUUGAAAUACCACCCUUUAAUGUUUGAUGUUCUAACGUGGACCCGUAAUCCGGGUUGCGGACAGUGUCUGGUGGGUAGUUUGACUGGGGCGGUCUCCUCCUAAAGAGUAACGGAGGAGCACGAAGGUUGGCUAAUCCUGGUCGGACAUCAGGAGGUUAGUGCAAUGGCAUAAGCCAGCUUGACUGCGAGCGUGACGGCGCGAGCAGGUGCGAAAGCAGGUCAUAGUGAUCCGGUGGUUCUGAAUGGAAGGGCCAUCGCUCAACGGAUAAAAGGUACUCCGGGGAUAACAGGCUGAUACCGCCCAAGAGUUCAUAUCGACGGCGGUGUUUGGCACCUCGAUGUCGGCUCAUCACAUCCUGGGGCUGAAGUAGGUCCCAAGGGUAUGGCUGUUCGCCAUUUAAAGUGGUACGCGAGCUGGGUUUAGAACGUCGUGAGACAGUUCGGUCCCUAUCUGCCGUGGGCGCUGGAGAAUUGAGGGGGGCUGCUCCUAGUACGAGAGGACCGGAGUGGACGCAUCACUGGUGUUCGGGUUGUCAUGCCAAUGGCACUGCCCGGUAGCUAAAUGCGGAAGAGAUAAGUGCUGAAAGCAUCUAAGCACGAAACUUGCCCCGAGAUGAGUUCUCCCUGACUCCUUGAGAGUCCUGAAGGAACGUUGAAGACGACGACGUUGAUAGGCCGGGUGUGUAAGCGCAGCGAUGCGUUGAGCUAACCGGUACUAAUGAACCGUGAGGCUUAACCU
rnacentral:rRNA from 1 species